UAGCCGCAGAACUGUUCGGGCAUGCCCCUCAA
rnacentral:sRNA from 1 species